rnacentral:rRNA from 1 species
AGACAGAGGGUGCGAACGUUGCUCGGAAUCACUGGGCGUAAAGCGCGUGUAGGCUGAUAUGCAAGUCAGGUGUGAAAUCCCUGGGCUCAACCCAGGAACUGCAUCUGAAACUGCAUGUCUGGAGUGUCGGAGAGGGAAGCGGAAUUCCUGGUGUAGAGGUGAAAUUCGUAGAUAUCAGGAGGAACACCGGUGGCGAAGGCGGCUUCCUGGACGACUACUGACGCUGAGACGCGAAAGCGUGGGGAGCAAACAGGAUUAGAUACCCCGGUAGUCC